rnacentral:rRNA from 1 species
CCCUUAGAUGUUCUGGGCCGCACGCGCGCUACACUGAUCAGUGCAACAAGCAUCCGUCCUUGGCCGACAGGCCCGGGCAAUCUUUGAACGCUGAUCGUGAUGGGGAUAGACUUUUGCAAUUUUUGGUCUUCAACGAGGAAUUCCUAGUAAACGCAAGUCAUCAACUUGCAUUGAUUACGUCCCUGCCCUUUGUACACACCGCCCGUCGCACCUACCGAUUGAAUGGUCCGGUGAAGCCUCCGGAUUGGCGUGCACCCUCGGGUGCUGCCGAGAAGUUGGCUAAACCUUACCAUUUAGAGGGAGGUGAAGUCGUAACA